rnacentral:rRNA from 1 species
CCUACGGGAGGCAGCAGUGGGGAAUCUUGCGCAAUGGGCGAAAGCCUGACGCAGCCAUGCCGCGUGAAUGAUGAAGGUCUUAGGAUUGUAAAAUUCUUUCACCGGGGACGAUAAUGACGGUACCCGGAGAAGAAGCCCCGGCUAACUUCGUGCCAGCAGCCGCGGUAAUACGAAGGGGGCUAGCGUUGCUCGGAAUUACUGGGCGUAAAGGGAGCGUAGGCGGAUAGUUUAGUCAGAGGUGAAAGCCCAGGGCUCAACCUUGGAAUUGCCUUUGAUACUGGCUAUCUUGAGUGUGGGAGAGGUAUGUGGAACUCCGAGUGUAGAGGUGAAAUUCGUAGAUAUUCGGAAGAACACCAGUGGCGAAGGCGACAUACUGGCCCAUUACUGACGCUGAGGCUCGAAAGCGUGGGGAGCAAACAGGAUUAGAUACCCUGGUAGUCCACGCUGUAAACGAUGAGUGCUAGUUGUCGGCAGGCAUGCCUGUCGGUGACGCNGCUACGCAUAAGACACUCCGCCGUCGGGGAGGUACGGUCGGCGAAGAAUUAAAACGUUAAAACGGUAAAGUUAGACGGCGUGAGACGUCGCCGACGGACGACGACGAGGGAGGUUAGG